rnacentral:lncRNA from 1 species
AAUGUAAUAUAUUUUAUAUUUUAUAUUUUUCCUUCCCUCUCUCUUCUCUUUAUCAUCCAACUAACUUCACUUAUUUUUAUAAAAUAUGAAUUUAUAAUCAUUUUAUUUCUUCUCUCUCCCCUCCCCUCUCUCUUUCUUCUUUCUUCUUCCUCCAACUUUUCACGCAGAAGCCUCUCCUCUUUUUCCCUUCUUUUCUUUUUCUUU